CACUUCCGUUUUCUAUCUCUUUUGUUUCAUCGGCUUACAACUUCCUUAAGCUGUGACAAUGAAUGUCAAUCAAUCAUCGAAAAUGUUUGUCCUACAUGUGACCGUUCCAGCACGUGUCGAUUAUGAUUCAGAACUGAUAGAAAAAAAGAAAGCAGUGAAUUUAUGAUACACAGAGAACAAGGAAAAGAAGAUCAAACAAAAGCGUACUCAGCUUCACCUCCAGGAAGACUAAAAGACACACAGAGCUUCAGACGCUUCCAAAAGCUUCAAGCAGAGAAUUCGCUAACCUAAAAAUAUUACAUCCUCUUGACUUACCUGUGAUGCUGGUUGGAGACAUUUUACUCGAGUUCAAACCCUUUUCCCUAAUCACCAACGGUAGAUAUUCCUGGAAAGUUACCGACCGUCUUUGCAAAAGGACAAAGAACGGUUAACAGAUGGAUUACUUAACUUCUGAAUAGUUCUUUCAAAAUACUUCUUUUGUCUUCUACUGUGAAAUUAAUCACCUGCGC